rnacentral:rRNA from 1 species
GAUAACCCCGGGAAACUGGGGAUAAUACCGGAUAACGCAUAUGUGCUGGAAUGCUUUAUGCGUAAAACGGAUUCGUCCGCCCAAGGAUGGGUCUGCGGCCUAUCAGGUAGUAGUGGGUGUAAUGUACCUACUAGCCAACAACGGGUACGGGUUGUGAGAGCAAGAGCCCGGAGAUGGAUUCUGAGACAUGAAUCCAGGCCCUACGGGGCGCAGCAGGCGCGAAAACUUUACAAUGCGGGAAACCGUGAUAAGGGAACACCGAGUGCCAGCAUCAUAUGCUGGCUGUCCAGAUGUGUAAAGUACAUCUGUUAGCAAGGGCCGGGCAAGACCGGUGCCAGCCGCCGCGGUAACACCGGCGGCCCGAGUGGUGACCGUUAUUAUUGGGUCUAAAGGGUCCGUAGCCGGUUUGGUCAGUCCUCCGGGAAAUCUGAUAGCUUAACUGUUAGGCUUUCGGGGGAUACUGCCAGGCUUGGAACCGGGAGAGGUAAGAGGUACUACAGGGGUAGGAGUGAAAUCUUGUAAUCCCUGUGAGACCACCUGUGGCGAAGGCGUCUUACCAGAACGGGUUCGACGGUGAGGGACGAAGGCUGGGGGCACGAACCGGAUUAGAUACCCGGGUAGUCCCAGCCGUAAACUAUGCUCGCUAGGUGUCAGGCAUGGCGCGACCGUGUCUGGUGCCGCAGGAAGCCGUGAAGCGAGCCACCUGGGAAGUACGGCCGCAAGGCUGAAACUUAAAGGAAUUGGCGGGGGAGCACAACAACGGGUGGAGCCUGCGGUUUAAUUGGACUCAACGCCGGACAACUCACCGGGGACGACAGCAAAUGUAGGCCAGCUGAAGACCUUGCCUGAAUCGCUGAGAGAGUGCAU